AUUGAACGCUGGCGGCAUGCCUUACACAUGCAAGUCGAACGGCAGCACGGGAGCAAUCCUGGUGGCGAGUGGCGAACGGGUGAGUAAUAUAUCGGAACGUGCCCGGUCGUGGGGAUAACGUAGCGAAAGCUACGCUAAUACCGCAUACGAUCUACGGAUGAAAGCGGGGGAUCGCAAGACCUCGCGCGAUUGGAGCGGCCGAUAUCAGAUUAGGUAGUUGGUGAGGUAAAGGCUCACCAAGCCGACGAUCUGUAGCUGGUCUGAGAGGACGACCAGCCACACUGGGACUGAGACACGGCCCAGACUCCUACGGGAGGCAGCAGUGGGGAAUUUUGGACAAUGGGCGCAAGCCUGAUCCAGCAAUG
rnacentral:rRNA from 1 species